rnacentral:rRNA from 1 species
CCUACGGGUGGCUGCAGUGGGGAAUAUUGGACAAUGGGCGAAAGCCUGAUCCAGCCAUGCCGCGUGUGUGAAGAAGGCCUUCGGGUUGUAAAGCACUUUCAGUGGGGAAGAAAGCCUUGGGGCUAAUACCCUCGAGGAAGGACAUCACCCACAGAAGAAGCACCGGCUAACUCCGUGCCAGCAGCCGCGGUAAUACGGAGGGUGCGAGCGUUAAUCGGAAUUACUGGGCGUAAAGCGCGCGUAGGCGGUCUGAUAAGCCGGUUGUGAAAGCCCCGGGCUCAACCUGGGAACGGCAUCCGGAACUGUCAGGCUAGAGUGCAGGAGAGGAAGGUAGAAUUCCCGGUGUAGCGGUGAAAUGCGUAGAGAUCGGGAGGAAUACCAGUGGCGAAGGCGGCCUUCUGGACUGACACUGAGGCUGAGGUGCGAAAGCGUGGGUAGCAAACAGGAUUAGAUACCCGUGUAGUC